rnacentral:rRNA from 1 species
UACGUAGGGCGCAAGCGUUGUCCGGAAUUAUUGGGCGUAAAGAGCUCGUAGGCGGUUUGUCGCGUCUGUCGUGAAAGCCCACGGCUUAACCGUGGGUCUGCGGUGGAUACGGGCAGACUAGAGGCAGGUAGGGGAGAAUGGAAUUCCCGGUGUAGCGGUGAAAUGCGCAGAUAUCAGGAGGAACACCGGUGGCGAAGGCGGGUCUCUGGGCCGAAACUGACGCUGAGGAGCGAAAGCGUGGGGAGCAAACAGG